rnacentral:rRNA from 1 species
AGAGAUAGAAAGUUACUUCGGUACAUCGGUGACAGGUGGUGCAUGGUUGUCGUCAGCUCGUGUCGUGAGAUGUUGGGUUAAGUCCGUAACGAGCGCAACCCCUGUCCUUAGUUACAAGUGUCUAAGGGGGACUGCCGGCGGUAAGCCGGAGGAAGGUGGGGAUGACGUCAAGUCAGCAUGGCCUUUAUAUCCUGGGCUACACACACGCUACAAUGGGAAGGGACAAUAGGUUGCGAAGCCGCGAGGCGGAGCCAAUCCAGCAAAACUUCCCUCAGUUCAGAUUGCAGGCUGCAACUCGCCUGCAUGAAGUUGGAGUUGCUAGUAAACGCAGGUCAGCCAUACUGCGUUGAAUACGUUCCCGGGGCUU